CAAGCAGUUUAGGCAAUCGCUCCUCCGUAGCUUUCAGCGAAGGAGGGGAGGAAAGUCCGAACACCAUUUUUCGUCAAUUAGCUUUUGUUAGUUGGCGAAUCAAAAAAGAUAGCGGCUAACAGCCGUCGCCAGCAAUGGUAGAGGUGCGAACAGAGACGCCCGAGCGCGAAAGCGCAAGGGCGCCCGCCAAAACUUUAGUAGAGGCGGGCGAGCUUAGGGAGAAAUCCCUGGGGUGAAACGGCUAAAUCCUUAUCGGGUGCAAGAACAAACGUUUUGGCAAUCUCCGGAUUUGCCCAAAUGUAAAAGUCGUUCGCAAGACCCCGAGAGUAAUCGAGGGGCUAGACAGAUGAUUGCCGCCCGGCACCAUGUGGUGCGGGGAACAGAAUUCGGCUUAUUGCCUGCUUGAGCU
rnacentral:RNase_P_RNA from 2 species